UGUUGGUCACGUCGGGUGUGAGAGAGUUUUCUCUGCUAUGCGAUCACCGUAUAUAGAUGGAUUCUGGUCCGGCCCUCCAAGGAGACAAGUGCACUAUGCAGCCACAAAAAUGUAAGUUAUAGGAGUGAAAGCCAAGCAAUAGAGUGCUCAUCCCUUGCCCAGCACUUCCUCUAUGAUGCAGAUGGAGCGAUUCAAGCGGCCAGCCAUGACUAGAAGAGGCCAGAGCAGCAGAUCAGCAUGGGACAAGAGACCAGGAAGCACUGAGGUGAACAGUCGUGUUCCCCAACCUCAAGCUCUCCAGCUGUUACAGAACUACAGCUUCAAUCAAGACUUUAACAAAAAAAUUACAUUGAG